ACUGAAUUCCCCACACUGUGAAGGAUAAAGUUUUCUAAGAAGUCCUGCAGUUGGGGAAUGGAUCUGAGGCAUACCUGAAUCUUUUUGGAUUUGCCUCUCAUUCAGAAGGCCUGCUAAGAGGUCGGCAUGGAAGGGAAAGACUGAGUAAGAAGCAAAGAGGCCUGCAGCUUGUGUCCAUGCUAGGAGGGACUGCAUCUGGUUUACUGAGCAUCCUGCAUUUAACCUUCCCACCCCCAUUUAAAGGUAGCAGUGAACUUCAGGAAAAUGACUGGUGAUCACAACACAGCAAGAAGGAGAAAUGUAUAUAAAUCAUGGAACAUGGGUUUGACCCAAUAAGAAGGAAAUGGAAUAAUAUAUUUACAUUUUCAGAAGAAGGAUUUUUGCCUUCAUAAUUAAGUUAGUUAUCUUCAAUUUGAUUUUCCUGUCCAACUUCCAGCAGCGUUUUAACUGUAAAUGUCCUGAAUAAAAAACACUGUCAUAGGAAAAAUCUGGUAUUA
rnacentral:lncRNA from 1 species